CGACGCACUGGCUUUGCGCAUCUAUUGCUUUCUUAUCAUAAACCGUCGCGUCGUUUCUUGCACAGUUUGGAGCAAGUUUCGUGUCGGUCUCUAGUUGAUCCAGGCGUAUUUUACGCGACUCGUAAUGCUAUUUACUAUUUGCGCGUUUCUUCUCCGGUUAGUUUUGAUUGCGCUGAAAGUGUAUAUUGGCACUCACAAGGUGUCCAUUAUGAUUUAUUCAUCAUUAAGAUGGCCCAUCGUGCUGGUUAUUUACCUUGGAGUCCGAUGAGUUCUGUAUUGGGAUUUUGCUACUGAGUCUGACAUCGUAGAAGGAGCAUUCUUUCAUCAGAUUGGAUUUUGCUACUGAGUUUGACAUCGUAGGAGGAUCAUUCUUUCAUCAGAUUGGAUUUUGCUACUGAGUCUGACAUCGUAGAAGGAGCAUUCUUUCAUCAGAUUGGAUUUUGCUACUGAGUCUGACAUCGUAGAAGGAGCAUUCUUUCAUCAGAUUGGAUUUUGCUACUGAGUCUGACAUCGUAGAAGGAGCAUUCUUUCAUCAGAUUGGAUUUUGCUACUGAGUCUGACAUCGUAGAAGGAGCAUUCUUUCAUCAGAUUGGAUUUUGCUACUGAGUCUGACAUCGUAGAAGGACUAUUCUUUCAUCAGAUUGGAUUUUGCUACUGAGUCUGACAUCGUAGAAGGAGCAUUCUUUCAUCAGAUUGGAUUUUGCUACUGAGUCUGACAUCGUAGAAGGAGCAUUCUUUCAUCAGAUUGGAUUUUGCUACUGAGUCUGACAUCGUAGAAGGAGCAUUCUUUCAUCAGAUUGGAUUUUGCUACUGAGUCUGACAUCGUAGAAGGAGCAUUCUUUCAUCAGAUUGGAUUUUGCUACUGAGUCUGACAUCGUAGAAGGAGCAUUCUUUCAUCAGAUUGGAUUUUGCUACUGAGUCUGACAUCGUAGAAGGAGCAUUCUUUCAUCAGAUUGGAUUUUGCACCUGAGUUUGACAUCAUAGAAGGACCAUUUUUGUAUAUUUUAAAUAACUUUUGGGAUUAUUAUACAAAUUGAUUUCUAAAAUUUAUGCUUGUGCGUUUUCUUUAAUAAAGAGUAUUUUUAAGUUU